GUGUGUGUAAUUUAAAU
rnacentral:tRNA from 26 species